AUGCCCAGGAGGAACAAAGGGUGUGC
rnacentral:piRNA from 1 species